rnacentral:lncRNA from 1 species
GACUGCAAGGGUGUUGACCUUGGUAGAUACGGAGCUCUCUGUAUUUUGCAGGUUUGUUUCAGUUCUCACAUGUUCUGAGUAGAUGCCAACUUCGUGCCUCGCUUGAUUUCCAAUACUAUGAUGUUAUGAUGUUAUUCAAUAGUAGCUUUGCAUUAUACUAUCAGUUUGGUAUCAAGUUGCACAAUGUUAUGGAUACCCAGGUUAGCUUCUGGUGCUUUCUUUCGAGCCACUUGACUACUAGUUUCUCCUGUUAUCACGUGCAAUACUUUUUAACAAAAGUAAUAAGUGAUUCACGCAUUACUCUCCUGCUGUUUAAUCUGGCUCUUUGAAUACUGAUUGCGUGUUUUCGUUUCUACAACCUCAUACGUAUGACGUCUUUCUUAUUAUUGUUCACCGGAUUGUUCUGAUUUCCCAGCCGUGAUAGUUUUGAUUUCUAGUCGGGGUUUGCUAGUAUAUAUUCUCGUUAUAUUUUGUUAAAUUUACUCCGUCUAAAAAAGAGCCGGGAGUCUAUCGGAAACAACCUCUCUACUUCUUCGGAUUCGGAGGUAGCUGUAUGGACUGCGUACAUUCUACCUUCCCCAGACCCCACUUUGUGGGAAUACACUGGGUUUGUUGUUGUUGUUGUUGUUGUAUAUGGAGAUUCCUUAACUAGUUUGGAAUUGAGAUUUUGCUGCGGUGGUGGUGGAGUUCUGAUUAGAUUUUCAUUUAGCAAACUUUCUUGUUUAUGAUAGGAGAAUGUGGAGGUUGAGUAUUAGGGUAGAAAGUUAGUAGGCAGCCGAGAGUUGCUAAAUGUACAUAUAUAGAGUUUAAUGGAUAUCAAGGAUUCAUAUGGAGAUUGCUUAACUAGUUUGGAAUCGAGACGCUGUUGUUGAGUUCUUCUAAUUUAGAUAUACAACAUCAUACCUAGUGUAAUCGCACAAAGUGGAGUUUGGGGAGGAUAGAGUGUACGCAGAUCAUAUAUCGACCUCAGAGGUAGAGAGGCCUUUUUUUGAUAAACCCUCAGCUCAAGAAUUCUAAUUUAGAUAUCAUUUAUCAAAUUUCUUGUUAAUCUAGAUGUGUGGAUGCAAAGGUCGAGGAUUAGGGCAAAAACUUAGUAAGUAGUGGAAGUUAUUAAAUGUGCCCAAAUGGAGUUCAACGGAUAUAGAGGGUUUGUAUGGAGAUUGGUUGACUAGUUUGGGAUCGAGAUGUUGUGGUUUUCUCGGGGAGUUCUAAUUUAGAUAUCAUUUAAUGAAAUUUCUUGUUAAUCUUAGAUAUAUGGAUGUGAGGUCGAGAAUUAGGAUAGAAAGGUAGUAGGUACUCUGAGUUGUAUAGUUUUUUUUUUUUUUUUAAAUUAUUAUUAAAUUACUCUUUUUACUAUCUUAGAGUUCAAUGGAUAUAGAGGAUUCAUAUGGAGAUGCUUAGCUAGUUUGGGAUCGAGACAUUGUUGUUUCUUCGUGGAGUUCUUCUAAUUUAGAUAUUGUUUGGUAAAAUUUCUUGUUCAUCUUGGAUAUGAGGAUGUGGAGGUCGAGUAUUAGGGUAGAAAGUUAGUAGGUAGUCGAGAAUUGCUAAAUGUGCCCAAGGGGAGUUGAAUGGAUAUAGAGGAUUCAGAUGGAGAUUGCUUAACUAGUUUUGGAUCGAGAUGUUGUUGAUGUGGAGUUCUUCUAAUUUGGAUUCUCAUUUAGCGAAAUUUCUUGUUAAUCUAGAUAUGAGGAUGUGGAAGUCGAGAAUUAGGGUAGAAAGUUUGUAGGUUGUCAAGAGUUAUAUGGUUUCUCUUUUAAGUAUUAUUAUAACUAUUUUUACUAUCUUAAGUUCAAUGGAUAUAGAGGAUUCAUGUGGAAAUGGUUAGCUAGUUUGGGAUCGAGACGUUGUUGCUGUGGAGUUGUUCUAAUUUAGAUAUCAUUUAGCAAAAUUUCUUUCUAAUUUUAGAUAUGAGGAUUUGGAGUUCGAGGAUUAGGGUGGAAAGCUAGCCGGUAGUCCAGAGCUGUAUAGUUUCUCUUUUCAGUAUUGUUAUUACUCUUUUUACUAUCUUGGUGUUCGAUUUCUUGUUACCCUGCAUUUACUUUCACCCUGACCGUUUGUUAUUGCUACGGUUCUUUUCUUCAUUAUUUUCUAAUUAUAUGGAGAUUCCUUAACUAGUUUGGAAUUGAGAUUUUGCUGCGGUGGUGGUGGAGUUCUGAUUAGAUUUUCAUUUAGCAAACUUUCUUGUUUAUGAUAGGAGAAUGUGGAGGUUGAGUAUUAGGGUAGAAAGUUAGUAGGCAGCCGAGAGUUGCUAAAUGUACAUAUAUAGAGUUUAAUGGAUAUCAAGGAUUCAUAUGGAGAUUGCUUAACUAGUUUGGAAUCGAGACGCUGUUGUUGAGUUCUUCUAAUUUAGAUAUACAACAUCAUACCUAGUGUAAUCGCACAAAGUGGAGUUUGGGGAGGAUAGAGUGUACGCAGAUCAUAUAUCGACCUCAGAGGUAGAGAGGCCUUUUUUUGAUAAACCCUCAGCUCAAGAAUUCUAAUUUAGAUAUCAUUUAUCAAAUUUCUUGUUAAUCUAGAUGUGUGGAUGCAAAGGUCGAGGAUUAGGGCAAAAACUUAGUAAGUAGUGGAAGUUAUUAAAUGUGCCCAAAUGGAGUUCAACGGAUAUAGAGGGUUUGUAUGGAGAUUGGUUGACUAGUUUGGGAUCGAGAUGUUGUGGUUUUCUCGGGGAGUUCUAAUUUAGAUAUCAUUUAAUGAAAUUUCUUGUUAAUCUUAGAUAUAUGGAUGUGAGGUCGAGAAUUAGGAUAGAAAGGUAGUAGGUACUCUGAGUUGUAUAGUUUUUUUUUUUUUUUUAAAUUAUUAUUAAAUUACUCUUUUUACUAUCUUAGAGUUCAAUGGAUAUAGAGGAUUCAUAUGGAGAUGCUUAGCUAGUUUGGGAUCGAGACAUUGUUGUUUCUUCGUGGAGUUCUUCUAAUUUAGAUAUUGUUUGGUAAAAUUUCUUGUUCAUCUUGGAUAUGAGGAUGUGGAGGUCGAGUAUUAGGGUAGAAAGUUAGUAGGUAGUCGAGAAUUGCUAAAUGUGCCCAAGGGGAGUUGAAUGGAUAUAGAGGAUUCAGAUGGAGAUUGCUUAACUAGUUUUGGAUCGAGAUGUUGUUGAUGUGGAGUUCUUCUAAUUUGGAUUCUCAUUUAGCGAAAUUUCUUGUUAAUCUAGAUAUGAGGAUGUGGAAGUCGAGAAUUAGGGUAGAAAGUUUGUAGGUUGUCAAGAGUUAUAUGGUUUCUCUUUUAAGUAUUAUUAUAACUAUUUUUACUAUCUUAAGUUCAAUGGAUAUAGAGGAUUCAUGUGGAAAUGGUUAGCUAGUUUGGGAUCGAGACGUUGUUGCUGUGGAGUUGUUCUAAUUUAGAUAUCAUUUAGCAAAAUUUCUUUCUAAUUUUAGAUAUGAGGAUUUGGAGUUCGAGGAUUAGGGUGGAAAGCUAGCCGGUAGUCCAGAGCUGUAUAGUUUCUCUUUUCAGUAUUGUUAUUACUCUUUUUACUAUCUUGGUGUUCGAUUUCUUGUUACCCUGCAUUUACUUUCACCCUGACCGUUUGUUAUUGCUACGGUUCUUUUCUUCAUUAUUUUCUAAUUGAUUUUUUUUACUACUGUAUUCCUUUUCAUGCUGUUUUUGGUAUGCUUUAUUUGAGUCGAAAGUUUAUGAUAAACAACCUCUCUACCAUCACAAAGUAGGCGUACGGCAGCGGGCUGCGUAUACACCCAAACCCUGCUUCUGGGAUUACGCUAAGUUUGUUGUUGUUAGCUAAAACUUUUGUUAAUAAUCCUACAGGUUAAGUUUAGUAAGCUAAUGGGUUUUGAAUUUUUCUAUUUUAAUUCCGCCCCUUGUGAUUGCAACGUAUAACUCAGGGUGCUAUAGUAUGGAAUCCGUUGUUUUACCUUUUCAUUUUGGAUGAAUGUCAAAAUUAAUUAUUCUUAGUCCUGAUUGCAAUUAAGUGUUGCGUGGUAUCAUCACAAUUCCCAAUCGGGUUAUAUGAUCCUCCGUGUCCAUUCUGUAUUUAGGUUCAUAUCAUUUCAAUAUAAAUGAUUUGACAUUUCAAGGCUUGAAAUUUCAGACAUACCUUAUAAGAAAAAAGGCUCAAAAUUUCAGACAUAGCCCACAGGGACAAGGGUAAUCAAAAUACAGGCCUUUUGUGUGUGUUCUGUCUUAGCUAAUUCUGUUUUAAUUUUGUUACUGCUGCAUUAUUCACAAAUAAUAAAGAUGGGUCAGAGUAUUCCUAGACUUGCUGUGCGAUUUCAGUCAUGUGCUGGUUCAUUCUCCUUUCAUGAGGGGAAAUCCUUUGCUUAAGAUUCACCGACCGACUGACUUGUAAUAUCUAAUAGGGGUUCUUUAGUUAAACACUGGUUAAGUUCCAUUGCUUGUGCACCUCAUGCAAUUUAUUGUCCCCUUUAAAGGAUGUGAAGGGAUCUUGGUUGAUUUAGAUUUUGGGAUGGAGGAGCUUAAUUGGUUGCUGGUAUAUGUAAUCUGUAACGUGAAGUUUAUGUUGGUCAGUAUUCAUAGAGAAUAAUGGAUGCAGUAUCAUUAACUUUAAGCAUAGAUACUUGUAAGUCUUGUUGAUGUGUUUCAGAAGAUUACUUUCUUGGAACCUCUUGUGUUUGGUGCGAAUCCAUAUGUUUGAAAAAAUACCAAGUGUGUGAUGUGAGAGGAGACUAGGCAAAUGUAUAAUAUGUUUUACAUUUUCAAACUCUCUUUAGAUACUAUAAUUACAAUUUUUUAUGAUGUGCGAUAGCAUUACCAAAUAUAUAAUGUAUCUAUGCGUCACUCAACUUAAUGCUCUCCUCAAAAUGAUGCAAGUAUCUUGGAUGUAGGUAUGUCGCGAGUUUGUUGCAUCUGAAACUAGUUCGAGGACUGACAAGUGUGGUAAAUAUGUCUGCAAGUUGAUAAUGACGUACAUAUUGAGUGACAAUGAAUUCUGGAAGUGUCUUUUUUUGUGAAGUAUUAGUUGAUUUCUAUCUUCUUGGUCCUUUCAUGAAAUAGGAUUUGAUGCAAUCAAAGUGUAACUUAGUUAUCAUAAAUGAGAAUCAUCUGAUUUUAGGUUUAUCAUAAAUUGGAAUCAUCUGAUUUUAGGUUUCCGAUUUCAAUUCUUGGAGUAGUUUGGUCCAUAUGGUAUUCGACUUCGGUGCUAAAUCUUGCUACUCAAUUUUGUUUCUUGGUCAUCCAUGACACAAGAUUUCCCCAAACAAGAACACAAUACCUUGCGAUGGAUGUGUAUCACACACAGUGAUCAGGUCCAACCUGUUUUUUAAAGCAAUAAACUAUGCACAUGCCUUCGUAAAAUGGUGCUUUUGCUAAUUAGCUGAUUUUAUGUAUCUAAGAAAGAAUGCUAGCUACUACAUUUCAAUAAGCAUCACAUAAAUAUUUCUAUUAACUUUUGAUGCUCAUAGGGAGGGCCAUAUCACUAGAAGCCUUCCUUGUUGAGAAGCUUGACCUUUGAAUCUGUUAUGUAGUCAGACUUGAAACUAAGUUGGAAGUUCUAUUGAUCAAACAAAAUUGUACAGUCAGUUGCAAGUUUGGGAAUCAAACACACCAAAUCUUAAAAAGGCUACCUAAUGCAAUGGAUAAGAAGAAUUAUGGAGAAGAAGAGAGCAGAAGAAUGAGAAGAGAAAGGAGAAACAAGAAGCACAGAAGAGAAAGCAAAGAAUAAUGUUGUGGCAGGAGAGGGAGAGAUAAGAGACGAAGGAGAUAAUAUUCACCAAAAACUAAAAACUAAUCCCUUCACUGACUCAUGUCUUCUCUUAUAUGAGAGUGAGCACAGCCUCUCGCAUGCCCCUAAUUAGUUUGGUUCAUGACAGUACUUUGAAAUUGACCUGUCCUCAAGGUCAUGGAGGAGACACAUAGAAAUCAGCUGUUAUUUACUUUUUAAUGCCAGGUAAAAUUGAACCCCCACAAAAAUGCCAAUGAUAAUUAUGCAACCGGAUGAGCUUACCAACUGAAGUCUUCUCAGGCUGCCUAUCAACUAUAGCAUCGGCCUUUUGUAAUCUUUAAAAUUGUAGCAAGAGAUACUGUCAUCCUUGCAUAGGUGCCAAGCACAGUCAUCCCACAAAACUCAGUUUUAAGGCCACCCUCUUUAUAAUAGCAACUUGUUAGUACCGACCAAGAAACUAUAUUCUUCUCCAUUAAAUCAUCAUCAAAUAUAUUCUUGUACUCCCAACAAACACCAUAGCAGUAUGUCUUCAAAAUUGUCAGUAACCAUGAUACCAUAUAUGAAGUUCUGAAUCCAUAGUGCAAUCCAGCUGAACAGUCAUUCUGUAGGGCAUCAAUUAAACCCCGGAAAUGCCUCUUACCUUCUUCCUUUGCAUUGUUGACCAG